CGCCAAAAAGCUAGCCUCCCCUUAAAAAACAAACAACCAAUAUUCAUAACCCCAAAUAAAUUAAUUAACUCAAAUUAACAAACCAUUUUUCCUCUUUAGUAUAGGCGAUAGAAAAAGAACUAUUAGAGCAAUAGAGAAAGUACCGCAAGGGAAUGCUGAAAGAGAAAUGAAACAACCCAGUUAAGCAUAGAAAAGCAGAGAUUCUAGCCCGUACCUUUUGCAUCAUGAAUUAGCUAGUAAAAUUCAAGCAAAGAGCACUUUAGUUUGCCACCCCGAAACUAAGUGAGCUACUCCAAGAUAGCCUAAUAAUAGGGCAAACCCGUCUCUGUGGCAAAAGAGUGGGAAAAGCUUCGAGUAGUGGUGACAGACCUAUCGAACUUAGUUAUAGCUGGUUGCCUGAGAACUGGAUAGAAGUUCAGCCUCCCGGCUUCUCCCCUCAUAUCUAUAAACCUAAAAACCCUUUAGACAUUCCAAAGAAACCGAGAGAGUUAAUUAAAGGGGGUACAGCCCCUUUAAUGUAAGAUACAACUUUUCUAGAAGGAUAAAGAUCAAAAUUUUAACAAGGGAUAAUGUCUCGGUGGGCCUAAGAGCAGCCACCCCAACAGAAAGCGUUAAAGCUCAGACAUACAAUCUUUCCCCUAUAUUUCGACAACAUAAUCUUAAUCCCCUAAUUUUAUCAGGCCGUCCCAUGCAAACAUGGGAGCGAUCAUGCUAGUAUGAGUAAUAAGAGAGUACUUAGACUCUCUCCUCGCAUAAGUGUAAGUCGGAGCGGACCAUCCCCCGAACUCUAACGGUCCCAAGCAAAGAGGGUAAUAGAUAGCAAACCAAACAACCAGAAAAUAAUCCAAGAAAUAACCGUUAACCCUACACUGGAGUGCUUACAAGGAAAGACUAAAAGAAAGAAAAGGAACUCGGCAAACACACCUAAGCCUCGCCUGUUUACCAAAAACAUCGCCUCUUGCAAAAUUAAUAAAUAAGAGGUCCCGCCUGCCCUGUGACUAUAUGUUUAACGGCCGCGGUAUUUUGACCGUGCGAAGGUAGCGCAAUCACUUGUCUUUUAAAUGAAGACCCGUAUGAAUGGCAUAACGAGGGCUUAACUGUCUCUUUUUUCAAGUCAAUGAAAUUGAUCUCCCCGUGCAGAAGCGGGGAUAAGCCCAUAAGACGAGAAGACCCUGUGGAGCUUUAGACACCAAGACAGAUUUUUGUCAAAUACCCCGAACUAAUGGAUUGAACCAAUUAAGCCCUGUCCUUAUGUCUUCGGUUGGGGCGACCGCGGGGAAAUGAAUAACCCCCACGUGGAAUGGGAGCACCUCCUCCCACAACUAAGAGCCCCCGCUCUAAUGACCAGGACUUCUGACCAAUGAGAUCCGGCAACGCCGAUUAACGAACCAAGUUACCCCAGGGAUAACAGCGCAAUCCCCUUUUAGAGCCCAUAUCGCCAAGGGGGUUUACGACCUCGAUGUUGGAUCAGGACAUCCUAAUGGUGCAGCCGCUAUUAAGGGUUCGUUUGUUCAACGAUUAAAGUCCUACGUGAUCUGAGUUCAGACCGGAGUAAUCCAGGUCAGUUUCUAUCUAUGUAUUGAUUUUUUCCAGUACGAAAGGACCGAAAGAAAGAAGCCCCUGCCCAAACACGCCUCCCCCCUCACCUAAUGAAUACAACUCAAAUAGAUAAAAGGACAUAUCAGCCUAACCAAAGAAAAUGGUAU
rnacentral:rRNA from 1 species